GAAGAGUUAGCUUAGAGGAAAGAGCACUGGCUGCUACCCCAAGGGAUCUGGGUUUGAUUCCCAGAAUUCACA
rnacentral:tRNA from 1 species